rnacentral:rRNA from 1 species
AAAUGAAUUGACGGGGACCCGCACAAGCGGUGGAGCAUGUGGUUUAAUUCGAAGCAACGCGAAGAACCUUACCAGGUCUUGACAUCCUUCUGACAAUACCCUGUAAUGGGGUACUUCCUUCGGGACAGAAGAGACAGGUGGUGCAUGGUUGUCGUCAGCUCGUGUCGUGAGAUGUUGGGUUAAGUCCCGCAACGAGCGCAACCCUUAUCUUAUGUAGCCAGCACGCGAUGGUGGGCACUCAUGAGAGACUGCCAGGGUGAACCUGGAGGAAGGUGGGGAUGACGUCAAAUCAUCAUGCCCCUUAUGACCUGGGCUACACACGUGCUACAAUGGCGUAAACAGAGUGAAGCGAGACUGUGAAGUCGAGCAAAUCACAAAAAUAACGUCCCAGUUCGGACUGUGGUCUGCAACCCGACCACACGAAGCUGGAAUCGCUAGUAAUCGCAGAUCAGAAUGCUGCGGUGAAUACGUUCCCGGGUCUUGUACACACCGCCCGU